CAACCUCAACUCAUAUGGGACUACCCCCUGAAUUUAAGCAUAUUAAUUAGGGGAGGAAAAGAAACUAACAAGGAUUUUCUUAGUAGCGGCGAGCGAAAAGAAAUCAGUUCAGCACUAAGUCACUUUGUCUAUAUGGCAAAUGUGAGAUGCAGUGUACGGAACAUCAACAUUCUAGUAUGAGAAGUUAACGAUUUAAGUCCUUCUUAAAUGAGGCCAUUUACCCAUAGAGGGUGCCAGGCCCGUAUAACGUUAAUGAUUACUAGAUGGUGUUUCCAAAGAGUCGUGUUGCUUGAUAGUGCAGCACUAAGUGGGUGGUAAACUCCAUCUAAAACUAAAUAUAACCAUGAGACCGAUAGUAAACAAGUACCGUGAGGGAAAGUUGAAAAGAACUCUGAAUAGAGAGUUAAAUAGUACGUGAAACUGCUUACAGGUUAAGCCCGAUGAACCUGAAUAUCCGUUAUGGAAAAUUCAUCAUUAGAAUUGUAAUAUUUUAAACAAUAUUAUAAUAAUAGUGUGCAUUUUUUCCAUAUAAGGACAUUGUAAUCUAUUAGCAUAAAUAUUUAUCAUAAAAUUAUGUCUGAUUGCUUAUUUGAAUUAUAUGCUUGGCAUUUUAACAUAAAAUAAAAGAUAUAAAUUUGAUAAAGUGCUGAUAGAUUUAUAUGAUUACAGUGCGUUAAUUUUUCGGAAUUAUAUAAUGGCAUAAUUAUCAUUGAUAUUUGUGUUUAUUAUAUGCAUUUGUAUGAUUAACAAUGCCAAAGAUUCAGGAUACCUUCCGGACCCGUCUUGAAACACGGACCAAGGAGUCUAACAUAUGUGCAAGUUAUUGGGAUAUAAACCUAAUAGCAUAAUUAACUUGACUAUUAAUGGGAUUAGUUUUUUUUUUUAACUAUUUAUAGUUAAUUAACGCAAUCCCGGGGCGCUCUAUAUAGUUAUGUAUAAUAAUAUUUAUAUUAUUUAUGCCUCUAACUGGAACGUACCUUGAGCAUAUAUGCUGUGACCCCAAAGAUGGUGAACUAUACUUGAUCAAGUUGAAGUCAGGGGAAACCCUGAUGGAACACCGAAACAGUUCUGACGUGCAAAU
rnacentral:ncRNA from 1 species